rnacentral:rRNA from 1 species
AACCUGGUUGAUCCUGCCAGUAGUCAUACGCUCGUCUCAAAGAUUAAGCCAUGCAUGUGUAAGUUCAAUGAUUUGACCAAAAAACUGCGAAUGGCUCAUUAUAUCAGUUAUAGUUUAUUUGAUAGUCCCUUACUACUUGGAUACCCGUAGUAAUUCUAGAGCUAAUACAUGCGUAAACACUCGACCUUUGGAAGAGUGGUAUUUAUUAGAUUGAAACCACCCCCGUUUCGGCGGUGUCCUGGUUGAUCCUAAUCACU